rnacentral:rRNA from 1 species
CCUACGGGAGGCAGCAGUGGGGAAUAUUGCACAAUGGGGGAAACCCUGAUGCAGCGACGCCGCGUGGGCGAAGAAGUAUUUCGGUAUGUAAAGCCCUAUCAGUAGGGAAGAAGAAAUUACGGUACCUGAGCAAGAUGCACCGGCUAAAGACGAGACAGCAGCCGCGGUAAUACGUCGGGUGCAAGCGAUAUGCGGAUUUACUGGGUGUAAAGGGAGCGCAGGCGGGACGGCAAGCGUGAGGUGAAAGCCCGGGGCUCAACCGGGGGACUGCAUUGGGCACCAGCGGGCUGGAGUGCCGGAGAGGUGGGCGGAAUUCCAGGUGUAGCGGUGAAAUGCGUAGAUAUGGGGAGGAACACCAGUGGCGAAGGCAGCCUACUGGGAAGUGACUGACGCUGAGGCGCGAAAGCGUGGGGAGCAAACAGGAUUAGAUACCCGGGUAGUC